GAUGAACGCUGGCGGUGUGCCUAAUACAUGCAAGUCGAGCGAACAGACGAGGAGCUUACUCCUCUGACGUUAGCGGCGGACGGGUGAGUAACACGUGGAUAACCUACCUAUAAGACUGGGAUAACUUCGGGAAACCGGAGCUAAUACCGGAUAACAUGUUGAACCGCAUGGUUCAACAGUGAAAGACGGUCUUGCUGUCACUUAUAGAUGGAUCCGCGUCGCAUUAGCUAGUUGGUAAGGUAAUGGCUUACCAAGGCAACGAUGCGUAGCCGACCUGAGAGGGUGAUCGGCCACACUGGAACUGAGACACGGUCCAGACUCCUACGGGAGGCAGCAGUAGGGAAUCUUCCGCAAUGGGCGAAAGCCUGACGGAGCAACGCCGAGUGAGUGAAGAAGGUCUUCGGAUCGUAAAACUCUGUUAUUAGGGAAGAACAAAUGUGUAAGUAACUAUGCACGUCUUGACGGUACCUAAUCAGAAAGCCACGGCUAACUACGUG
rnacentral:rRNA from 1 species